rnacentral:rRNA from 1 species
AGACGGAGGGGGCUAGCGUUGUUCGGAAUUACUGGGCGUAAAGCGCGCGUGGGCGGAUUGAUCAGUCAGAGGUGAAAUCCAAGGGCUCAACCCUGGAACUGCCUUUGAUACUGUCAGUCUUGAUUUCGAGAGAGGUGAGUGGAAUUCCGAGUGUAGAGUUGAAAUUCGUAGAUAUUCGGAGGAACACCAGUGGCGAAGGCGGCUCACUGGCUCGAUACUGACGCUGAGGUGCGAAAGCGUGGGGAGCAAACAGGAUUAGAUACCCCAGUAGUCC